GUGCGCCAUUAUAUUAAUAAUCUAACAGAAAACAAAUGGAAAAAUAGAAGAAUUUAUACAUUGGAAACUGGAGAAUCAUAUACACAAUGAGAAUUAGCUAAUAUUUUAUGACCUUGUCUUAUGGUUGUAAACCGAUCGUUUCAAAUCAAUCUGUCAUGAACGAAAAAGAACAAACCUUCUUUUCUUUCCGUUUCAGCUUUCAAUUCUUAUUUGACACAUUUCAAUAUGUUUUACAUCAUGAUUGCAUACAAAAUUUUAUACGUUUGAAGUUUUGAAUCUCUUGUUGAAUAAUUUUUAUAUCAAUCAUACGAACGGAUUUUAAUUUG
rnacentral:lncRNA from 1 species